UACGGAGGGGGCGAGCGUUAUUCGGAAUUAUUGGGCGUAAAGGGCGCGUAGGCGGCCCGGUAAGUCAAAGGUGAAAUCCCUCGGCUCAACUGAGGAACUGCCUUUGAAACUGUCGGGCUUGGGGCCGGGAGGGGGUAGCGGAAUUCCCAGUGUAGCGGUGAAAUGCGUAGAUAUUGGGAGGAACACCAGUGGCGAAGGCGGCUACCUGGACCGGUUCUGACGCUGAUGCGCGAAAGCGUGGGUAGCAAACAGG
rnacentral:rRNA from 1 species